rnacentral:rRNA from 1 species
GACGAACGCUGGCGGCGUGCCUAAUACAUGCAAGUCGAACGCAUUUUCUUUCACCGUAGCUUGCUACACCGAAAGAAAAUGAGUGGCGAACGGGUGAGUAACACGUGGGUAACCUGCCCAUCAGCGGGGGAUAACACUUGGAAACAGGUGCUAAUACCGCAUAAUUCCAUUUACCGCAUGGUAGAUGGAUGAAAGGCGCUUUUGCGUCACUGAUGGAUGGACCCGCGGUGCAUUAGCUAGUUGGUGGGGUAACGGCCUACCAAGGCUGCGAUGCAUAGCCGACCUGAGAGGGUGAGCGGCCACACUGGGACUGAGACACGGCCCAGACUCCUACGGGAGGCAGCAGUAGGGAAUCUUCGGCAAUGGACACAAGUCCGACCGAGCAACGCCGCGUGAGUGAAGAAGGUUGUCGGAUCGUAAAACUCUGUUGUUAGAGAAGAACAAGGAUGAGAGUGGAAAGUUCAUCCCUUGACGGUAUCUAACCAGAAAGCCACGGCUAACUACGUG